GAUGAACGCUGGCGGCGUGCCUAAUACAUGCAAGUCGAGCGAACAGACGAGGAGCUUGCUCCUCUGACGUUAGCGGCGGACGGGUGAGUAACACGUGGAUAACCUACCUAUAAGACUGGGAUAACUUCGGGAAACCGGAGCUAAUACCGGAUAAUAUAUUGAACCGCAUGGUUCAAUAGUGAAAGACGGUUUUGCUGGCACUUAUAGAUGGAUCUCCGCCGCAUUAGCUAGUUGGUAAGGUAACGGCUUACCAAGGCAACGAUGCGUAGCCGACCUGAGAGGGUGAUCGGCCACACUGGAACUGAGACACGGUCCAGACUCCUACGGGAGGCAGCAGUAGGGAAUCUUCCGCAAUGGGCGAAAGCCUGACGGAGCAACGCCGCGUGAGUGAUGAAGGUCUUCGGAUCGUAAAACUCUGUUAUUAGGGAAGAACAAAUGUGUAAGUAACUAUGCACGUCUUGACGGUACCUAAUCAGAAAGCCACGGCUAACUACGUG
rnacentral:rRNA from 1 species